rnacentral:rRNA from 1 species
GAUGAACGCUGGCGGCGUGCCUAAUACAUGCAAGUCGAGCGAACAGACGAGGAGCUUGCCCCUCUGACGUUAGCGGCGGACGGGUGAGUAACACGUGGAUAACCUACCUAUAAGGCUGGGAUAACUUCGGGAAACCGGAGCUAAUACCGGAUAAUAUAUUGAACCGCAUGGUUCAAUAGUGAAAGACGGUUUUGCUGUCACUUAUAGAUGGAUCCGCGCCGCAUUAGCUAGUUGGUAAGGUAACGGCUUACCAAGGCAACGAUGCGUAGCCGACCUGAGAGGGUGAUCGGCCACACUGGAACUGAGACACGGUCCAGACUCCUACGGGAGGCAGCAGUAGGGAAUCUUCCGCAAUGGGCGAAAGCCUGACGGAGCAACGCCGCGUGAGUGAUGAAGGUCUUCGGAUCGUAAAACUCUGUUAUUAGGGAAGAACAAAUGUGUAAGUAACUAUGCACGUCUUGACGGUACCUAAUCAGAAAGCCACGGCUAACUACGUG